GUGAGGAGUCAAGCUAGAGACUU
rnacentral:snRNA from 1 species